rnacentral:rRNA from 1 species
CCCAGACUCCUACGGGAGGCAGCAGUGGGGGAUAUUGCACAAUGGGGGGAACCCUGAUGCAGCGACGCCGCGUGGGUGAAGGAGCGUUUCGGCGCGUAAAGCCCUAUCGGCAGGGAAGAAGGAGGACGGUACCUGACUAAGAAGCCCCGGCUAACUACGUGCCAGCAGCCGCGGUAAUACGUAGGGGGCAAGCGUUAUCCGGAUUUACUGGGUGUAAAGGGGGCGCAGACGGCAGCGCAAGCCAGGAGUGAAAGCCCGGGGCCCAACCCCGGGACUGCUCUUGGAACUGCGCGGCUGGAGUGCAGGAGGGGCAGGCGGAAUUCCUGGUGUAGCGGUGAAAUGCGUAGAUAUCAGGAGGAACACCGGUGGCGAAGGCGGCCUGCUGGACUGCGACUGACGUUGAGGCCCGAAAGCGUGGGGAGCAAACAGGAUUAGAUACCCGAGUACA